GGCAGUGGUUGCUCAGUGGUUUACAGCUUGGCCUACUGAUUAGAAGGUCAUGAGUUCAAACCCCAUCGCUGCCA